AUCUUACAGGAAAUUUGAAUUUAUAGGGAACCGAAUGUUGCAUCAGCCAUAGAAUGCAGGCUGUUCCCAUUGCUUGAAGAACUGUUUUUGCCCAGUGGCAUGAACAGAGUGGAUCUUCCUAAGGUAUGAUAAAACAGUCCCUUGUUUUACAGUUGUACUCCCAUUUCAUGGUCAUGAGACAGAUUGUAGUACAGAAUCUUUCAGAAGAAAAAACUGGAGAAAAACUAAUUCUAAGAGUAAAUUGGUCUCCUGUGGAAAAGUUUUUGUUGCUGAUCAUCUUUUUGUUAACUUGCCAUUCCCACCCCUCUGUUCUCCUAUUGAUGACAGUUGAAAAGAAAGUGUAAACAAAAUUAUAUUAUUUUUAAGGCUUUCUUUACAUCACUUUCUCCUACUCACAGUAGAGUUGGUCCACUAUGCACGCCCAGAAAUGCAUCUUCAUUGAUAACUUUCAGGUAUUUGUUCUUGUGGAGAUAGCUGCAGAAACAGACAAAACAGUUUGGAAUUUGGAAACAGUCAU